rnacentral:rRNA from 1 species
CGGCGAGUGAAGCGGCAAUAGCUUCAAAUUUGAAAGCUGGCGUCUUCGACGUCCGCGUUGUAAUUUGUAGAGGAUGCUUCGGCGAAGACUCCUGCCUAAGUCCCCUGGAACGGGGCGUCAUAGAGGGUGAGAAUCCCGUAUGUGGCGGGCAGUCUAAGCCAUGUGAAGCUCCUUCGACGAGUCGAGUUGUUUGGGAAUGCAGCUCUAAAUGGGAGGUAAAUUUCUUCUAAAGCUAAAUAUUGGCCAGAGACCGAUAGCGCACAAGUAGAGUGAUCGAAAGAUGAAAAGCACUUUGGAAAGAGAGUUAAAAAGUACGUGAAAUUGUUGAAAGGGAAGCGCUUGCAACCAGACUCGCUCGUAGUUGCUCAGCCGGCCUCUUGGCCGGUGUACUCUUCUACGAUCGGGCCAGCAUCAGUUCGGGCGGCAGGAUAAAGGUGUCGGGAAUGUAGCACCCUUCGGGGUGUGUUAUAGCCCGGCGCGGAAUGCUGCCAGCCUGGACUGAGGAUCUCGCUUCGGCAAGGAUGCUGGCGUAAUGGUUGUAAGCGGCCCGUCUUGAAACACGGACCAAGGAGUCUAACAUCUAUGCGAGUGUUUGGGUGUCAAACCCAUGCGCGUAAUGAAAGUGAACGGAGGUGGGAACCCCUCACGGGGUGCACCAUCGACCGAUCCUGAUGUCUUCGGAUGGAUUUGAGUAAGAGCAUAGCUGUUGGGACCCGAAAGAUGGUGAACUAUGCCUGAAUAGGGUGAAGCCAGAGGAAACUCUG